rnacentral:tRNA from 1 species
UUUAAUGUAGUGUGAAUAUUAUGCACGUUACAUUUUGGUUGUAAAGGAGAUUAGUUAUCCGUUAAUU